rnacentral:rRNA from 1 species
UACGAAGGGGGCUAGCGUUGUUCGGAAUUACUGGGCGUAAAGCGCACGUAGGCGGACAUUUAAGUCAGGGGGUGAAAUCCCGGAGCUCAACUCCGGAACUGCCUUUGAUACUGGGUGUCUUGAGUGUGGAAGAGGUGAGUGGAAUUCCGAGUGUAGAGGUGAAAUUCGUAGAUAUUCGGAGGAACACCAGUGGCGAAGGCGGCUCACUGGUCCAUUACUGACGCUGAGGUGCGAAAGCGUGGGGAGCAAACAGG